AACCUGCCCUUGACUCUGGGAUAAGCCUGGGAAACUGGGUCUAAUACCGGAUAUGACUCCUCAUCGCAUGGUGGGGGGUGGAAAGCUUUUGUGGUUUUGGAUGGACUCGCGGCCUAUCAGCUUGUUGGUGGGGUAAUGGCCUACCAAGGCGACGACGGGUAGCCGGCCUGAGAGGGUGACCGGCCACACUGGGACUGAGACACGGCCCAGACUCCUACGGGAGGCAGCAGUGGGGAAUAUUGCACAAUGGGCGCAAGCCUGAUGCAGCGACGCCGCGUGAGGGAUGACGGCCUUCGGGUUGUAAACCUCUUUCAGUAGGGAAGAAGCGUAAGUGACGGUACCUGCAGAAGAAGCGCCGGCUAACUACGUGCCAGCAGCCGCGGUAAUACGUAGGGCGCAAGCGUUAUCCGGAAUUAUUGGGCGUAAAGAGCUCGUAGGCGGUUUGUCGCGUCUGCUGUGAAAGACCGGGGCUCAACUCCGGUUCUGCAGUGGGUACGGGCAGACUAGAGUGCAGUAGGGGAGACUGGAAUUCCUGGUGUAGCGGUGAAAUGCGCAGAUAUCAGGAGGAACACCGAUGGCGAAGGCAGGUCUCUGGGCUGUAACUGACGCUGAGGAGCGAAAGCAUGGGGAGCGAACAGGAUUAGAUACCCUGGUAGUCCAUGCCGUAAACGUUGGGCACUAGGUGUGGGGGACAUUCCACGUUUUCCGCGCCGUAGCUAACGCAUUAAGUGCCCCGCCUGGGGAGUACGGCCGCAAGGCUAAAACUCAAAGGAAUUGACGGGGGCCCGCACAAGCGGCGGAGCAUGCGGAUUAAUUCGAUGCAACGCGAAGAACCUUACCAAGGCUUGACAUGAACCGGAAAGACCUGGAAACAGGUGCCCCGCUUGCGGUCGGUUUACAGGUGGUGCAUGGUUGUCGUCAGCUCGUGUCGUGAGAUGUUGGGUUAAGUCCCGCAACGAGCGCAACCCUCGUUCUAUGUUGCCAGCGGUUCGGCCGGGGACUCAUAGGAGACUGCCGGGGUCAACUCGGAGGAAGGUGGGGACGACGUCAAAUCAUCAUGCCCCUUAUGUCUUGGGCUUCACGCAUGCUACAAUGGCCGGUACAAAGGGUUGCGAUACUGUGAGGUGGAGCUAAUCCCAAAAAGCCGGUCUCAGUUCGGAUUGGGGUCUGCAACUCGACCCCAUGAAGUCGGAGUCGCUAGUAAUCGCAGAUCAGCAACGCUGCGGUGAAUACGUUCCCGGGCCUUGUACACACCGCCCGUCAAGUCACGAAAGUUGGUAACACCCGAAGCCGGUGGCCUAACCCUUGUGGGGGGGAGCCCUUCG
rnacentral:rRNA from 1 species